AUCGAACGCUGGCGGCAGGCCUAACACAUGCAAGUCGAGCGGCAGCGGGACCUUCGGGUCGCCGGCGAGCGGCGGACGGGUGAGUAAUGCCUAGGAAUCUGCCUGUUAGUGGGGGAUAACGCGGGGAAACUCGCGCUAAUACCGCAUACGUCCUACGGGAGAAAGUGGGGGACCCUCGGGCCUCACGCUAACAGAUGAGCCUAGGUCGGAUUAGCUAGUUGGUGGGGUAAAGGCCCACCAAGGCGACGAUCCGUAACUGGUCUGAGAGGAUGAUCAGUCACACUGGAACUGAGACACGGUCCAGACUCCUACGGGAGGCAGCAGUGGGGAAUAUUGGACAAUGGGCGAAAGCCUGAUCCAGCCAUGCCGCGUGUGUGAAGAAGGUCUUCGGAUUGUAAAGCACUUUAAGUUGGGAGGAAGGGCGCUCGGUGAAUACCCAGGCGUCUUGACGUUACCGACAGAAUAAGCACCGGCUAACUUCGUGCCAGCCGCCGCGGUAAAAC
rnacentral:rRNA from 1 species